rnacentral:rRNA from 1 species
CAGUAGCCGCGGUAAUACGUAGGGUGCGAGCGUUAAUCGGAAUUACUGGGCGUAAAGCGUGCGUAGGCGGCUUUUUAAGUCGGAUGUGAAAUCCCUGAGCUUAACUUAGGAAUUGCAUUCGAUACUGGGAAGCUAGAGUAUGGGAGAGGAUGGUAGAAUUCCAGGUGUAGCGGUGAAAUGCGUAGAGAUCUGGAGGAAUACCGAUGGCGAAGGCAGCCAUCUGGCCUAAUACUGACGCUGAGGUACGAAAGCAUGGGGAGCAAACAGGAUUAGAUACCCCCGUAGUCCCUGUCUCUUAUAC